rnacentral:sRNA from 20 species
ACUUACCGUUGUGCCUCCUCCCAUUGCGCACGGUAAGUGUUCCCCUCUGGAGGUUUGCCCAAGUGGCACCUUCAUAACUUGGCCGGACUUCCCAGUCCGACUCUUUU